rnacentral:rRNA from 1 species
GGUUAAGCGACUAAGCGUACACGGUGGAUGCCCUGGCAGUCAGAGGCGAUGAAGGACGUGCUAAUCUGCGAUAAGCGUCGGUAAGGUGAUAUGAACCGUUAUAACCGGCGAUUUCCGAAUGGGGAAACCCAGUGUGAUUCGUCACACUAUCAUUACGUGAAUACAUAGCGUAAUGAAGCGAACCGGGGGAACUGAAACAUCUAAGUACCCCGAGGAAAAGAAAUCAACCGAGAUUCCCCCAGUAGCGGCGAGCGAACGGGGAGCAGCCCAGAGUCUGAAUCAGCUUGUGUGUUAGUGGAACGGUCUGGAAAGUCCGACGGUACAGGGUGAUAGUCCCGUACACCAAAAUGCACAGGUUGUGAACUCGAAGAGUAGGGCGGGACACGUGGUAUCCUGUCUGAAUAUGGGGGGACCAUCCUCCAAGGCUAAAUACUCCUGACUGACCGAUAGUGAACCAGUACCGUGAGGGAAAGGCGAAAAGAACCCCGGCGAGGGGAGUGAAAAAGAACCUGAAACCGUGUACGUACAAGCAGUGGGAGCCUCUUUAUGGGGUGACUGCGUACCUUUUGUAUAAUGGGUCAGCGACUUAUAUUCUGUAGCAAGGUUAACCGUAUAGGGGAGCCGAAGGGAAACCGAGUCUUAACUGGGCGUUAAGUUGCAGGGUAUAGACCCGAAACCCGGUGAUCUAGCCAUGGGCAGGUUGAAGGUUGGGUAACACUAACUGGAGGACCGAACCGACUAAUGUUGAAAAAUUAGCGGAUGACUUGUGGCUGGGGGUGAAAGGCCAAUCAAACCGGGAGAUAGCUGGUUCUCCCCGAAAGCUAUUUAGGUAGCGCCUCGUGAAUUCAUCUUCGGGGGUAGAGCACUGUUUCGGCUAGGGGGUCAUCCCGACUUACCAACCCGAUGCAAACUGCGAAUACCGAAGAAUGUUAUCACGGGAGACACACGGCGGGUGCUAACGUCCGUCGUGAAGAGGGAAACAACCCAGACCGCCAGCUAAGGUCCCAAAGUCAUGGUUAAGUGGGAAACGAUGUGGGAAGGCACAGACAGCCAGGAUGUUGGCUUAGAAGCAGCCAUCAUUUAAAGAAAGCGUAAUAGCUCACUGGUCGAGUCGGCCUGCGCGGAAGAUGUAACGGGGCUAAACCAUGCACCGAAGCUGCGGCAGCGACACUAUGUGUUGUUGGGUAGGGGAGCGUUCUGUAAGCCGUUGAAGGUGUAUCGUGAGGUAUGCUGGAGGUAUCAGAAGUGCGAAUGCUGACAUAAGUAACGAUAAUGCGGGUGAAAAACCCGCACGCCGGAAGACCAAGGGUUCCUGUCCAACGUUAAUCGGGGCAGGGUGAGUCGACCCCUAAGGCGAGGCCGAAAGGCGUAGUCGAUGGGAAACAGGUUAAUAUUCCUGUACUUGGUGUUACUGCGAAGGGGGACUGAGAAGGCUAUGUUAGCCGGGCGACGGUUGUCCCGGUUUAAGCAUGUAGGCGGAGGUUCCAGGUAAAUCCGGUACCUUUUUAACGCUGAGGUGUGAUGACGAGGCACUACGGUGCUGAAGUAACAAAUGCCCUGCUUCCAGGAAAAGCCUCUAAGCAUCAGGUAACACGAAAUCGUACCCCAAACCGACACAGGUGGUCAGGUAGAGAAUACCAAGGCGCUUGAGAGAACUCGGGUGAAGGAACUAGGCAAAAUGGUGCCGUAACUUCGGGAGAAGGCACGCUGAUAUGUAGGUGAAGUGAUUUACUCAUGGAGCUGAAAUCAGUCGAAGAUACCAGCUGGCUGCAACUGUUUAUUAAAAACACAGCACUGUGCAAACACGAAAGUGGACGUAUACGGUGUGACGCCUGCCCGGUGCCGGAAGGUUAAUUGAUGGGGUUAUCCGUAAGGAGAAGCUCUUGAUCGAAGCCCCGGUAAACGGCGGCCGUAACUAUAACGGUCCUAAGGUAGCGAAAUUCCUUGUCGGGUAAGUUCCGACCUGCACGAAUGGCGUAAUGAUGGCCAGGCUGUCUCCACCCGAGACUCAGUGAAAUUGAACUCGCUGUGAAGAUGCAGUGUACCCGCGGCAAGACGGAAAGACCCCGUGAACCUUUACUAUAGCUUGACACUGAACACUGGUCCUUGAUGUGUAGGAUAGGUGGGAGGCUUUGAAGUGUGGACGCCAGUCUGCAUGGAGCCAUCCUUGAAAUACCACCCUUUAAUGGCUGGUGUUCUAACGUGGACCCGUAAUCCGGGUUGCGGACAGUGUCUGGUGGGUAGUUUGACUGGGGCGGUCUCCUCCUAAAGAGUAACGGAGGAGCACGAAGGUUAGCUAAUCCUGGUCGGACAUCAGGAGGUUAGUGCAAAGGCAUAAGCUAGCUUGACUGCGAGAGUGACGGCUCGAGCAGGUGCGAAAGCAGGUCUUAGUGAUCCGGUGGUUCUGAAUGGAAGGGCCAUCGCUCAACGGAUAAAAGGUACUCCGGGGAUAACAGGCUGAUACCGCCCAAGAGUUCAUAUCGACGGCGGUGUUUGGCACCUCGAUGUCGGCUCAUCACAUCCUGGGGCUGAAGUAGGUCCCAAGGGUAUGGCUGUUCGCCAUUUAAAGUGGUACGCGAGCUGGGUUUAGAACGUCGUGAGACAGUUCGGUCCCUAUCUGCCGUGGGCGCUGGAGAAUUGAGGGGGGCUGCUCCUAGUACGAGAGGACCGGAGUGGACGCAUCACUGGUGUUCGGGUUGUCAUGCCAAUGGCAUUGCCCGGUAGCUAAAUGCGGAAGAGAUAAGUGCUGAAAGCAUCUAAGCACGAAACUUGCCCCGAGAUGAGUUCUCCCUGAGACUUUAAGUCUCCUGAAGGAACGUUGAAGACGACGACGUUGAUAGGUCGGGUGUGUAAGUGUAGCGAUACAUUGAGCUAACCGAUACUAAUGAACCGUGAGGCUUAACCUU